GACAGAAAACACUGCUAAUUUGAAAUGUAUAUGGUGAGGGGAAAGUUGUCUCUCUGCUUUGUGAUUCACAGGUGGCAGACCAUUAUGACCCGAGUCAGUCUUUGAGAGGUGUGUUUUUUUUCUUAUUGCUUUCAUGACUGUUGCAACAAUGUAUUUGGAUAUGGGGGUAUCUCUUGUGAACAUUUUAACCCAUCAGGUACAUAGAAGACGGCUUCAAGGCACAAAGCUUCUCAGUUGUAAGACAUUUUGAUUAUGUAUGUUCCACAAUAAAGCCCAUGUGAUUUAGGAUUGAAAUAGGAAGACAUUUAGAAGUUGUGUAUGUGGAAGGAAAGGCAUGUGUGCCUAUUGCUUUAGUCGACAGAUGUCGCAGCCUUGUCUUGUGGAAAAGUGAAUCUUGGGCAACAGGGUUUUCAGAAGGUGUAAGGUAAGCAAAAUGAUCUCGCUUGAAUGGUUUCAGGAUCCACAAAGAUUGAGAGGAGUGGCAAAGAAAGUGCAGAAAAAAGUUUGUACCAUCUUAUGUAGGAAGACAUUUGGAAGUUGUGUUCGUGGAAGGAAAGGCCUGUGUGUCUAUUGCUUUACUCGACAGAUGUCGCAGCCUUGUCUUGUGGAAAAGUGAAUCUUGGGCAACAGGGUUUUCAGAAGGUGUAAGGUAAGCAAAAUGAUCUCGCUUGAAUGGUUUCAGGAUCCACAAAGAUUUAGAGGAGCAGCAAAGAAAGUGUGUACCAUCUUAUGUAGGAAGACAUUUGGAAGUUGUGUUUGCGGAAGGAAAGAAACGUCUGUGUGUCUAUUGCUUUACUCGACAGAUGUCGCAGCCUUGUCUUGUGGAAAAGUGAAUCUUGGGCAACAGGGAUUUCAGCAGGUGUAAGGUAAGCAAAAUGAUCUUGCUUGAAUAGUUUCAGGAUCCACACAGAUUGAGAGGAGCAGCAAAGAAAGUGAAGAAAAAAGUUUGUACCAUCUUAUGUAGGAAGACAUUUGGAAGUUGUGUUUGCGGAAGGAAAGGCUUGUGUGUCUAUUGCUUUACUCGACAGAUGUCGCAGCCUUGUCUUGUGGAAAAGUGAAUCUUGGACAACAGGGAUUUCAGCAGGUGUAAGGUAAGCAAAAUGAUCUCGCUGGAAUGGUUUCAGGAUCCACACAGAUUGAGAGGAGCAGCAAAGAAAGUGAAGAAAAGAGUUUGUACCAUCUUAUGUAGGAAGACAUUUGGAAGUUGUGUUUGCGGAAGGAAAGAAAGGCCUGUGUGUCUAUUGCUUUACUCGACAGAUGUCGCGGCCUUGUCUUGUGGAAACGUGAAUCUUGGGCAACAGGGAUUUCAGCAGGUGUAAGGUAAGCAAAAUGAUCUUCCUUGAAUAGUUUCAGGAUCCACACAGAUUGAGAGGAGCAGCAAAGAAAGUGAAGAAAAAAGUUUGUAACAUCUUAUGUAGGAAGACAUUUGGAAGUUGUGUUUGCGGAAGGAAAGGCUUGUGUGUCUAUUGCUUUACUCGACAGAUGUCGCAGCCUUGUCUUGUGGAAAAGUGAAUUUUGGGCAACACGGUUUUCAGAAGGUGUAAGGUAAGCAAAAUGAUCUCACUUGAAUGGUUUCAGGAUCCACAAAGAUUGAGAGGAGCGGCAAAGAAAGUGCAGAAAAAAGUUUGUACCAUCUUAUGUAGGAAGACAUCUGGAAGUUGUGUUCGCGGAAGGAAAGGCCUGUGUGUCUAUUGCUUUACUCGACAUGUCGCAGCCUUGUCUUGUUUAAAAGUGAAUCUUGGGCAACAGGGUUUUCAGAAGGUGUAAGGUAAGCAAAAUGAUCUCGCUUGAAUGGUUUCAGGAUCCACAAAGAUUGAGAGGAGCGGCAAAGAAAGUGAAGAAGUAAGUGUGUACCAUCUUAUGUAGGAAGACAUUUGGAAGUUGUGUUUGCGGAAGGAAAGAAAGGCCUGUGUAUCUAUUGCUUUACUCGACAGAUGUCGCAGCCUUGUCUUGUGGAAAAGUGAAUCUUGGGCAACAGGGAUUUCAGCAGCUGUAAGGUAAGCAAAAUGAUCUUGCUUGAAUAGUUUCAGGAUCCACACAGAUUGAGAGGAGCAGCAAAGAAAGUGAAGAAAAAAGUUUGUACCAUCUUAUGUAGGAAGACAUUUGGAAGUUGUGUUUGCGGAAGGAAAGGCCUGUGUGUCUAUUGCUUUACUCAACAGAUGUCGCAGCCUUGUCUUGUGGAAAAGUGAAUCUUGGGCAACAGGGUUUUCAGAAGGUUUAAGGUAAGCAAAAUGAUCUCGCUUGAAUGGUUUCAGGAUCCACAAAGAUUUAGAGGAGCAGCAAAGAAAGUGAAAAAGAAAGUGUGUACCAUCUUAUGUAGGAAGACAUUUGGAAGUUGUGUUUGCGGAAGGAAAGAAAGGCCUGUGUGUCUAUUGCUUUACUCGACAGAUGUCGCAGCCUUGUCUUGUGGAAAAGUGAAUCUUGGGCAACAGGGAUUUCAGCAGGUGUAAGGUAAGCAAAAUGAUCUUGCUUGAAUAGUUUCAGGAUCCACACAGAUUGAGAGGAGCAGCAAAGAAAGUGAAGAAAAAAGUUUGUACCAUCUUAUGUAGGAAGACAAUUGGAAGUUGUGUUUCCAGAAGGAAAGGCCUGUGUGUCUAUUGCUUUACUCGACAGAUGUCGCAGCCUUGUCUUGUGGAAAAGUGAAUCUUGAGCAACAGGGUUUUCAGAAGGUGUAAGGUAAGCAAAAUGACCUCGCUUGAAUGGUUUCAGGAUCCACAAAGAUUGAGAGGAGCGGCAAAGAAAGUGAAGAAGAAAGUGUGUACCAUCUUAUGUAGGAAGACAUCUGGAAGUUGUGUUUGCGGAAGGAAAGAAAGGCCUGUGUGUCUAUUGCUGUACUCGACAGAUGUCGCAGCCUUGUCUUGUGGAAAAGUGAAUCUUGGGCAACAGGGAUUUCAGCAGGUGUAAGGAAAGCAAAAUGAUCUUGCUUGAAUAGUUUCAGGAUCCACACAGAUUGAGAGGAGCAGCAAAGAAAGUGAAGAAAAAAGUUUGUACCAUCUUAUGUAGGAAGACAAUUGGAAGUUGUGUUUCCAGAAGGAAAGGCCUGUGUGUCUAUUGCUUUACCAGACAGAUGUCGCAGCCUUGUCUUGUGGAAAAGUGAAUCUUGAGCAACAGGGUUUUCAGAAGGUGUAAGGUAAGCAAAAUGACCUCGCUUGAAUGGUUUCAGGAUCCACAAAGAUUGAGACGAGCGGCAAAGAAAGUGCAGAAAAAAGUUUGUACCAUCUUAUGUAGGAAGACAUUCGGAAGUUGUGUGCGCGGAAGGAAAGGCCUGUGUGUCUAUUGCUUUACUCGACAGAUGUCGCAGCCUUGUCUUGUGGAAAAGUGAAUCUUGGGCAACAGGGUUUUCAGAAGGUGUCAGGUAAGCAAAAUGAUCUCGCUUGAAUGGUUUCAGGAUCCACAAAGAUUUAGAGGAGCAGCAAAGAAAGUGAAAAAGAAAGUGUGUACCAUCUUAUGUAGGAAGACAUUUGGAAGUUGUGUUUGCGUAAGGAAAGAAAGGCCUGUGUGUCUAUUGCUUUACUCGACAGAUGUCGCAGCCUUGUCUUGUGGAAAAGUGAAUCUUGGGCAACAGGGUUUUCAGCAGGUGUAAGGUAAGCAAAAUGAUCUCGCUGGAAUGGUUUCAGGAUCCACACAGCAAAGAAAGUGAAGAAAAGUGUUUGCACCAUCUUAUGUAGGAAGACAUUUGGAAGUUGUGUUUGCGGAAGGAAAGAAAGGCCUGUGUGUCUAUUGCUUUACUCGACAGAUGUCGCAGCCUUGUCUUGUGGAAAAGUGAAUCUUGGGCAACAGGGAUUUCAGCAGGUGUAAGGUAAGCAAAAUGAUCUUGCUUGAAUAGUUUCAGGAUCCACACAGAUUGAGAGGAGCAGCAAAGAAAGUGAAGGAAAAAGUUUGUACCAUCUUAUGUAGGAAGACAUUCGGAAGUUGUGUUCGCGGAAGGAAAGGCCUGUGUGUCUAUUGCUUUACUCGACAGAUGUCGCAGCCUUGUCUUGUGGAAAUGUGAAUCUUGGGCAACAGGGUUUUCAGAAGGUGUGAGGUAAGCAAAAUGAUCUCGCUUGAAUGGUUUCAGGAUCCACAAAGAUUUAGAGGAGCAGCAAAGAAAGUGAAAAAGAAAGUGUGUACCAUCUUAUGUAGGAAGACAUUUGGAAGUUGUGUUUGCGGAAGGAAAGAAAGGCCUGUGUGUCUAUUGCUUUACUCGACAGAUGUCGCAGCCUUGUCUUGUGGAAAAGUGAAUCUUGGGCAACAGGGUUUUCAGAAGGUGUAAGGUAAGCAAAAUGAUCUUGCUUGAAUGGUUUCAGGAUCCACAAAGAUUGAGAGGAGCGGCAAAGAAAGUGCAGAAAAAAGUUUGUACCAUCUUAUGUAGGAAGACAUCUGGAAGUUGUGUUCGCGGAAGGAAAGGCCUGUGUGUCUAUUGCUUUACUCGACAGAUGUAGCAGCUUUGUCUUGUGGAAAAGUGAAUCUUGGGCAACAGGGUUUUCAGCAGGUGUAAGGUAAGCAAAAUGAUCUCGCUUGAAUGGUUUCAGGAUCCACAAAGAUUGAGAGGAGCAGCAAAGAAA